CAGUGGUGGCCUGUUGGUUAAGGAAGUUAAGUGCCACAUGCUCUCUAAGGUGAUGAGUUAAAGCCAUGACCCCCCAUAGGGGGCAGAAGCCCCCCUCCAAAUUGAAAUACUGUUGAGCCUGGUAAUAUUUCUCUGUAGAAACCACUGUAUGAGUUCCUAGCACCAUGAGCUGCAACACUGCCAUCUAGUGACUUGAGGCCUGUUUAGCAUUGAUAAAUUAUCGGUGGGGCGAGAUUAUCGGACAUCCCUAGUAUUAACCUGUAAAUGAUGACUUGGAGAGAUUGAAAAAAAAAAAAAGAAAAUUGUUGUUUCUAAAAAAAGAAAAGAGUGAAAAGCUCUGUACGUGGUAUAUCUACACCAGCUAAAAAAAGGCCGGUAAGACAAGGAUUAGUGGAGGCGGUGUUAAGACGUGUCUGCUGUGACAUCACUGUGAGAACGGAGUAAGCUGUCUUCAGAUAUGGACAGAUAAAGCAUGGAGCCUUAUCUAUUCUCACCACCUCCACUGCUGGAACUGUUCAGAGUCACAGAACGUGCUGCACACUUCACCUCCGUGUGUGUUACGUACCGGCCAUAACAAGGGCAGACACCACGUCGCUGCGUCCAGUCAUGGCUGCUUUGAUGAGGGCAGUGAAACCACGACAGUCCUUCACCUCCAGAGCAGUGUUGCCUUCGUUGUCCUGGUGGUUUAUGUCGAUGAAAGGACAACUGUGGAGCCCGUAAACAACUUCCACAAAACCUUUGCAGCACGCCACCAUCAGGCCAUUCUGUUUGAAAUUACAAUUAUUAUUUCUGUAUUUAUUUAUUUCUGUAUUUAGUGGUGAUCACUCACCCAGCCGUUGAUGUCCAGCUCCAUGACCUCCUCCUUUGUCACCCCUCUCUCCAGAACCCUCCGUAAAGAGAAGACUUCGUUACGAGCACAGGCUGAAUACAGAGUGGAACCUGCUGCACACCUGUCUUUCGUCUCUGGUGUGUAGACUGGAAGCACGGAGUCGUCAGAGAGGAUGCUGUCAGAGUCAGAGUCAGACUCAGACUCAGACUCAUCGCCUGCCGGAUGAAUUCCGUCUCCACUGGGCCCUGAGCCCAGGUAUCGGUCGUCUGCUGCGGAGGCCAUCUGACCGUGGGGAAAACAGCUAAGAUUCCUCUCAAUGCCAGAGGAACAUUACUGUUGAACGACAACAAUCAGGACACGGGGACACAGUUGAAGUGGGACACAGAGGACAGUGGGAGGACUGCAGCAUGUAAAGCAGAAUCCUACUCCGUGGCAGGCAGUGACGGUAACAUCAGCCCA